AGGGACCAUUGUCCAGCUUAGACUUCGCGAGCUAUAUAAGCUAGUCACGGCCACUGGUAGGCCACUUUGACAAUAUCGCCAUACACCGAGGUCGACAAAAUGGAGUUUUACCUGCUAGUGUCUGUGAUAAUGUUUGUAGUUGGCAUGCCCCUUACUGCCGAAACAGUGGCAAUAAAAAGACAAGCACCAGGUUGUAAUUAUUAUGGACAGUGGUACCCAGAGGGUUCAAAAUUUAUUGGAAAUUUCAAAUGUCUCAUUUACAGAUGUGUAAAUGGUACAUAUAUCCUUGAAUCUGAAGGUUGUUUAAUCAAUGACGGUAUAUGGAAUGGAAUCUGUAUCGAAGUGGGUACUUUUUUUUUUGUACAGGUGUACCCUUAAAAAGUGCAACAAGAGGAUCAGGAACUAUCACGACUACUAUGUCAUGGAUGUCUUACUAGCAAGAUGUCCAGACUACUUAGGUAAUUGCCGAGGCCCCCAAGAUCAUUAUACUGACAUGAUCAAUGGACGACUGUUUGAUAGCUGUCACUGCUAUGUUUCUGGAGAUUACGCGGACGGCUACUGUGACUAAACAUCUUGGUGUUGAGGCUGCUGAAUUUUUUUUAUAGGGAGAACCAUGCCCUUUUAUCUUUAUGCUUAAGACAGACGACUCUUUCGAUUUCAAAUUUUAAAAUUCAGAACAAGACCAUUGGUUUACAAUAAUAGCACAAAACAAAACAUCUAUAUAACAACUAACCACACACAGGUCCUUACUGGAACAAUUCAUUAGACAGUAUAGUAUUUGAAGUUCCUUCGAGGUUGAGAAUGUAUUGGUAAAACUUUUAUUAUUUUUUUUUUAAGACGAGCAUUUUUCAUAUUUUUACCGAAAAUGACAAAAAUUAUAAGUGUUACAGUAUUUUAUUAGUGUCUCUUCAUCAGGUUCACACACAUUCUAGAGAUUUAGCAGUAUCUAGAUAAGGACCUUGACCUUCAUCUUGACUAAUAGUAUGAUGACUUUGAUCUUGACCUAGACCUUGAUUGAUAGUGCGAUUACUUUGAUCUGGUAGUGGGAUGACUUUCUUGAUGAACGGGACCUAGAUUAAGGUGGAGAGCGUGAUCUGUGACUUGAUGACUGAUAUGAUGAAGAAGAUUGUCUUCUAGACUGGUGAUAUCGUACCGAGUCUGUUGACUAAUGCCUCUCUGAGCUGACUCUGUCUUUAUCAUAAUCUAACUCUGUAAACUCUCCACCAGGGUUUCUAAACACAUGUAAAAAGUUACGGGGCUCUCCUUUGUAGUAUUGUUUUUUUUUUUUAGGCCAGUCCUAAAAGAAUGAAAAUUGCAUUUAAAAAAAUGGUUUCAUGGACAUGAAUAUCUUUAAUUUUAUCAAAAAAUGUAAAGUGUAAAUUAACUAUUAUCAUUUAAUGUGAGCAUUAACAGCUUUUUGGCUUCAUUUUUAUUAUUCUUACCGUUACAGUAAAACUUUUUACUUUUUGGCUGAUUGAAUGCAGCUAGAGUACAUUGUUAAACAUAAAAAUCAUUUUAUAGGCAGGCUUAUGAGAUUCAGCAUUGAGAAUGAUAUGAAAUUAAAAAUAUACAUGCUGGUUUGAACAAUACUUAGGUGUCAAAUUUACAUUAGCAAACAUCUUUUACGACAGACAGUGACUCAGACUAAAUUCUCUCUAGUGUUGAUUAAACGUAUCAAAGGAA